AAUAAAUAAAUUCUUUGAUGGAAACAGCGUUUUAUUUGCAAAUAUAUAAGUGCGCAAGUUUCUAUUGCAGUAGCUGAUUUCCCAGGUUUUAAUCCUUACAACUAAUUAUUUUAAAAAUGUCUAUAAAAGUUAUUAGUCCUUCGAAGAUAAACGAGAAAUGGUUGGUUGUUUGUUCAUAUCGUCUGUUCAUUUUUAUGAUCAUUUAAAAAUUGAAAAAAUGAAUAUGAUUGCGUAUAAGAUUUAUUGGUAACGGAUAUAAAUUAUCAAAAGUUGUCCCUUCAUCCAUCGUAAUAGGAGGACUUACUGAUUCUCUGCUAUGGUGUGUUCUUCCUGGAUUUCAUUUUUUGAUCACUUCUUACAUUCUGCUAUUAAUAAUGGAGCAUAAAAACCGGGAUGACGUUUUAUAAAACAUUGGUUUCUCUUUCACUCUGCAAUGUAGCAGUACUUACAUUCUGUAGGAAAGAGUGAUGGUGCUUUUUUUUGCAUUGGGAACGAAGAUUGUCUUAUUGUUAAAGGAAGGAUUUAUGGCAUGACUUGAUUGGCCAACAAUUGAGAGAGAUUGGAACUGAUAUCCUUUGCAUACUGUAAAGAUAAGUGGUCUUCUAUGGUGUUUUACCUGUUAACCUUUCAUCUUGAAGGCUCUUGUAGUUAAUUAAGGAACAUUACUAGAAUUCGGAUACCAUUAAGUUAUGAAAUUUUGGAGCAUUGGUUAUAUUAGUCCUUAUUUGCCCUGGAAAAGUAGCUGUGCCCAUGGUUCUAAAGAAAACACGAAAGUGCCUUUUUUUCAUUGCGAAUGAAGACAGUGUGCUGAAAAAAGAAUUUAUGACAAUGAACUGAUUGUCCCACAAAUGACGAGGGAUUGCAGUUAAUUUUGAUACUACUGAAGCAACCGAUGCUAUUGAUGUCUGCACCUUGCAACAUUAUGCA